GCCUGGGUGGCUUAGUUGGUUAAGCGUCAGACUUUUGAUCUUGUGGUUCGUGGGUUCAAGCCCCGCGUCAGGCU